rnacentral:tRNA from 1 species
GCGGGUGUAGCUCAGUGGCAGAGCCCCAGCUUCCCAAGCUGGUUGCGGGAGUUCGAUCCUCCUCACCCGCUCCA